GGGGAUAUGGCGGAAUGGUAGACGCAGCGGACUCAAAAUCCGUUGGUUUCGACCGUGAGGGUUCGAUUCCCUCUAUCCCCA
rnacentral:tRNA from 40 species